rnacentral:tRNA from 1 species
AAACAAAAAGUGCACUAUAUGCACCACUUG